rnacentral:rRNA from 1 species
UACGAAGGGGGCGAGCGUUGUUCGGAUUUAUUGGGCGUAAAGAGCUCGUAGGCGGCCUGUCGCGUCGGUUGUGAAAGCCCGGGGCUUAACCCCGGGUCUGCAGUCGAUACGGGCAGGCUAGAGUUCGGUAGGGGAGAUCGGAAUUCCUGGUGUAGCGGUGAAAUGCGCAGAUAUCAGGAGGAACACCGGUGGCGAAGGCGGAUCUCUGGGCCGAUACUGACGCUGAGGAGCGAAAGCGUGGGGAGCGAACAGG